GACGAACGCUGGCGGCGCGCUUAACACAUGCAAGUCGAACGGAAAGGCCCUGCUUUUGUGGGGUGCUCGAGUGGCGAACGGGUGAGUAACACGUGAGUAACCUGCCCUUGACUUUGGGAUAACUUCAGGAAACUGGGGCUAAUACCGGAUAGGAGCUCCUGUUGCAUGGUGGGGGUUGGAAAGUUUCGGCGGUUGGGGAUGGACUCGCGGCUUAUCAGCUUGUUGGUGGGGUAGUGGCUUACCAAGGCUUUGACGGGUACCCCGCCUGUGAGGGUGACCGGCCACAUUGGGACUAAGAUACGGCCCAGACGCCUACGGGGGGCAGCAGUGGGGAAUAUUGCACAAUGGGCCGAAGCCUGAUGCAGCAACGCCGCGUGCGGGAUGCCGGCCUUCGGGUUGUAAACCGCUUUCGCCUGUGACGAAGCGUGAGUGACGGUAAUGGGUAAAGAAGCACCGGCUAACUACGUG
rnacentral:rRNA from 1 species